UUGGAAUUGUGGUUGGGUCCACCAGCUUGAGGUCAGAUUUGGGCUCCACUCCCUUCUAUUGGAUAGUUUGAAAAACUUGGCCUGGUUACUUAAUUGACAUCUUGAGUCCUUGUUUUCCUCAUCUGGAAAAUGGUUUGUUGCCAGUAGGAGAUUUAAAUGAGCAGUUAUAAAGUCCUGUGCAUUGUGACCACUCCACAAACGAGAGCUUCAAGCAUGCAGAACAAAGACCUGACAUAGGACCUCCUAACUCCUUUAUUUAAGAAAUGAAGAGCCCCAGAGAGGGGAAACCGUGGAGGCAGCAAGUCUAAGGAUCGAAAUUCAUCGAAGAGCAUUUGCUGAGGUGUCUGUGGAAGCACUACCAGAUAUUCAACUCCUACGGAAGCUAAACUCUGGACUCGUGGAAGUACCCGAUUAUUUAGUAUUUAUGAUUCACCAGACAAACAUUCUGGCAAACUCUGGCAAAGCCUUCCAGAAGCUUAUGCUCUAACUUUUUUCAACAUCACUCAGCAACCAAGAGGUGGAAUUUUGACAGAUGGAGAAGAUCAGGGAGGAACAUUUCAGAGCCUCUGAGACCAUCUGUAUAUGCUGCUUUAUUUCUCUUGGGCAAUGAAUACAUUGACAACGAUUUUAGAACCUAUUAGAUCCUCAGUUAAUGGGCCUCUCCUUCCCCAUAUGCUGCUGCAGCUGAUUGGCACAGAGACUCCCAGCCAUCCACUGACCUGGUUUAGGGGCCGCGGUGUAUAGUCAGCUCCCUAAGCAACAGAAGCAGGCUCCUGAGGGCAAGAUGCUCACACUCCAAUGGGGCAGCAGUGGACUGAGACUCCCUCCCUGGUGCAGGCGCAGCUGAUGUGCCUGGAGCUUGCCCACCUCGAGUGGACUGCUGAGAAAUUUUCCAAAUUAAAUUAAUAUUUAGAUUUCUCCCUCUGCCUCUCUCGGCCUUGCUUUCUCACAAGGUUGACAUUUGAGUAAAUUUAAUGCCUUUAGCUUUACACUUGUUUCUGCAGCAAGGACUCAUCAACCUCGUCGUGUUGCUGGC
rnacentral:lncRNA from 1 species